ncrna:unclassified sequences pemK RNA
ACAAUGAUACUUCCGUCCGGCUGCUGAUGACAGGGGCGGCUGCAGGAGAUCCCUGCAGGGGUUCGAUUCCCAUGA